GGAUUAGAAACCCUGGUAGUCCACGCCGUAAACGGUGGGCGCUAGGUGUGGGGACCAUUCCACGGUCUCUGUGCCGCAGCUAACGCACUAAGCGCCCCGCCUGGGGAGUACGGCCGCAAGGCUAAAACUCAAAGGAAUUGACGGGGGCCCGCACAAGCGGCGGAGCAUGUGGAUUAAUUCGACGCAACGCGAAGAACCUUACCAGGGCUUGAAAUAUACGGAAAAGCCACAGAGAUGUGGUGUCCUUCGGGCCGGUAUACAGGUGGUGCAUGGUUG
rnacentral:rRNA from 1 species